rnacentral:rRNA from 1 species
CCUACGGGGGGCAGCAGUGGGGAAUAUUGGACAAUGGGGGCAACCCUGAUCCAGCCAUGCCGCGUGUGUGAAGAAGGCCCUCGGGUUGUAAAGCACUUUCAGUGAGGAAGAACGCCUGGUGGUUAAUACCCAUCAGGAAAGACAUCACUCACAGAAGAAGCACCGGCUAACUCCGUGCCAGCAGCCGCGGUAAUACGGAGGGUGCGAGCGUUAAUCGGAAUUACUGGGCGUAAAGCGCGCGUAGGUGGCUUGAUAAGCCGGUUGUGAAAGCCCCGGGCUCAACCUGGGAACGGCAUCCGGAACUGGCAAGCUAGAGUGCAGGAGAGGAAGGUGGAAUUCCCGGUGUAGCGGUGAAAUGCGUAGAGAUCGGGAGGAAUACCAGUGGCGAAGGCGGCCUUCUGGACUGACACUGACGCUGAGGUGCGAAAGCGUGGGUAGCAAACAGGAUUAGAUACCCUUGUAGUC